AUUUCGUGAUGAGGACACUUCUAUAAUAAUUCUUUAUACCUUACCUAUGCCUCAUACAAGGACUCAUCAUCCAUUUGUUGGAAAGUAGUGAUCUCGUUCCUCAACUU
rnacentral:snoRNA from 1 species